AGUGAACGCUGGCGGUAGGCCUAACACAUGCAAGUCGAACGGCAGCACAGUAAGAGCUUGCUCUUACGGGUGGCGAGUGGCGGACGGGUGAGGAAUACAUCGGAAUCUACUUUUUCGUGGGGGAUAACGUAGGGAAACUUACGCUAAUACCGCAUACGAACUACGGGUGAAAGCAGGGGAUCUUCGGACCUUGCGCGAUUGAAUGAGCCGAUGUCGGAUUAGCUAGUUGGCGGGGUAAAGGCCCACCAAGGCGACGAUCCGUAGCUGGUCUGAGAGGAUGAUCAGCCACACUGGAACUGAGACACGGGCCAGACUCCUACGGGAGGCAGCAGUGGGGAAUAUUGGACAAUGGGCGCAAGCCUGAUCCAGCCAUACCGCGUGGGUGAAGAAGGCCUUCGGGUUGUAAAGCCCUUUUGUUGGGAAAGAAAAGCAGCAGGUUAAUACCCCGCUGUUCUGACGGUACCCAAAGAAUACGCACCGGCUAACUUCGUG
rnacentral:rRNA from 1 species